UCCCGUUGAUCCUGCGGGAGGUUGCUGCUAUUGGGGUUCGACUAAGCCAUGCAAGUCUAGGGGCUCUUCGGAGCACCGGCAAACUGCUCAGUAACACGUCGAUAAUCUACCCUUAAGUUCAGGAUAGCCUUGGGAAACUGAGGGUAAACCUGAAUAGGAGAAACAUUCUGGAAGGAAGUUUCUUUUAAAAGCAAUGCUUAAGGAUGAGACGGCGGCCGAUUAGGUCGUUGGUGGUGUAAUGGACCACCAAGCCAAUGAUCGGUAGGGGCCAUGAGAGUGGUAGCCUCGAGAAGGGUACUGAGACACUGACCCUAGCCCUACGGGGUGCAUCAGGCGCGAAAACUUUACAAUGCACGAAAGUGUGAUAAGGGAACCCCAAGUGCUUACCUUACGGUAGGCUUUUGCCAAAUCCAAAUAGUUUGGCGAAUAAGUGGUGGGCAAGACUGGUGCCAGCCGCCGCGGUAACACCAGCUCCACAAGUGGUGACCACAAUUACUGGGCCUAAAGCGUCCGUAGCCGGUCGAAUAAAUCUUUUGUGAAAUCGUUAGGCUUAACCUAACGGCGUGCAGAAGACACUGUUUGACUUGGAACCGGGAGGCGUAAGAAGUAUUCCAAGGGGAGCGGUAAAAUGCUAUAAUCCUUGGAGGACUACCAGUGGCGAAGGCGUCUUACGAGAACGGUUUCGACGGUGAGGGACGAAAGCUAGGGUAGCGAUCCGGAUUAGAUACCCGAGUAGUCCUAGCCGUAAACGCUGCGAGCCAGGUGUUGCAUAUUCUUUGGGGAUAUGCAGUGUCGAAGUGAAGAUGUUUAGCUCGCCGCCUGGGAAGUAUGGUCGCAAGACUGAAACUUAAAGGAAUUGGCGGGGGAGCACUACAAGGGGUGCGGCGUGCGGUUUAAUCCAAUUCAACGCGGAGAAUCUCACCAGAGGCGACGGCAGGAUGAAGGUCAGUCUGAAGGGCUUACUUGACGAGCCGAGAGGUAGUGCAUGGCCGCCGUCAGCUCGUGCCGUAAGGUGUCCUGUUAAGUCAGGCAACGAGCGAGACCUGUACCUAAAAUUGCUAACAACUCCUUUAGGAGGAUUGAGCACAUUUUAGGGACCGCUCCUGAAAAGGAGAGGAAGGUGCAGGCUACGGUAGGUCUGUAUGCUCCGAAUCUUCUGGGCUACACGCGCGCAACAAUGGCAGAGACAAUGGGAUACGACUCCGAAAGGAGAAGUUAAUCCUCUAAACUCUGUCCUAGUAUAGAUUGAGGAUUGUAACUCAUCCUCAUGACAUUGGAAUCCCUAGUAAUCAGGUGUUAGCAUCGCCUGGUGAAUAUGUCCCUGCUCCUUGCACACACCGCCCGUCAAACCACCCGAGUAGGGUCUAGAUGAGGGAUUAUUUAGAAUAAUUCCGAAUCUAAGCUUUGCGAGGAGGGUUAAGUCGUCACAAGGUA
rnacentral:rRNA from 1 species